UGCCAGCAGCCGCGGUAAAACGUAGGACGCAAGCGUUAUCCGGAGUUACUGGGCGUAAAGAGCGUGUAGGCGGUGACGUAAGUUACCUAUGAAAGCUCCCGGCUAAACUGGAGAGGAUAGGUGAUACUGCGUGACUAGAGAGUGAAAGAGGACAGUGGAAUUCCGGGUGUAGUGGUGAAAUGCGUAGAUAUCCGGAGGAACACCGGUGGCGAAGGCGACUGUCUGGUUCACAACUGACGCUAAGACGCGAAAGCAUGGGUAGCGAACGGGAUUAGAUA
rnacentral:rRNA from 1 species